rnacentral:lncRNA from 1 species
GAGACAAGGUCUUGCUCUGUCACCCAAGAUGGAAUACAAAGAAAUGGCAUGAUCGUAGCUCACUGUAGCCUCAAACUCCUAGCCUCAAGCAAUUCUCCUGCCCCCGCCUCCAAGUAGCUAGGACUACAGACGAAUGUUGGCUGUGACUCUUAUGAUGGUGAGAAAAGUUAUGACAUCAUUCCAUCCCUACAGUUUCUGGUGCCCAUCGUGGACCAGCUGAACACUUGACUCACUCCAGAGCCUGCAGAUGAGAUCCUGGGACAACUGACAAAAAGCCACCAAAAGGUUAAGACAUUUUUACAAAGGUCAGCUCUCCCAUAUGCCUGCCUAUAAUGUUCAGUUGAGAACCAAAUGUAAACAUUUCUCUUUAACCUCUGCCUUCCAAAUUCAGGUUAGCAGAAUAAAAUUGUCUGUCUGGAUUGUGAAAAAAAAAAAAAAAAAAAACAGCCAAGAAACUUGUUAUGUUUUUCUCUUGUUAAUUUGUCUUUUUAAAUAGGCAUGUCAGUUGUAACUCUUUUGAUGGUGAAGAAAGGUAAUAUACCUUUAUGCCCCUACAGUAGCAAAAGCCUGGCACAGAAUAUGUGCUUAAUAAACAUUUGUUGGAAAUAAUGAAUAAGCAAGUGGUUGGAUUUGCUCCUCCAAGAAGGAGAAGAAAGGAGUAAAGAAUAUAGGAGAGGAAAUUGGAGGAGAGGAAGAGGAACAGGGUGUUAGGACAGGAGAGGUGCAGAGUCUAG